UGGGGCCAACGGUUGGUCCCCUCCUUACCGAACGAUAUUGAAAUGUGCAGUGUCCACACAGAUUGUCUGAUGAAAAAGUAACGAGCAGAGAAACCUUUAUAGGCUUGUAGCUCAGGUGGUUAGAGCGCACCCCUGAUAAGGGUGAGGUCGGUGGUUCAAGUCCACUCAGGCCUACCAAUUUCCUUGUCUGCUGGUUUGUCGACCCAUUUCGUUGCCCCCAUCAACCUCCCAUGUCUCCUGCUUGCCUUAAAGCGAAUUGGCUCGGUCAUGAAUUGAUGAGUAAGCAAGAUUGGGUCUCUGCAUAACUGUAUGGGGCUAUAAUCUGCUUGAGACAGCGCCUGCCUUGCACGCGAUAGGACAGCGGUUCUAUCCCUCUUACCUCCACCUAAAAUAUCCUGUAUUUAUUAUACGACAGAUUAUAUUGGAGACUUUAUGCUGCGAACAAUCUUGCUCUUUAACAAUCUGGAACAUGAUUGAUAAUUGAAAUAAUGAAUAAUCGUAAGAUUAUUGCAAAGUCUCUCAAAAGCGAAACAUCCGAUGAUGGAAACAUCUUCUGAUUGUGAGGUUAAGUGACUAAGCCUUACACAGUGGAUGCCUUGGCA
rnacentral:misc_RNA from 1 species